rnacentral:rRNA from 1 species
UAUUCCGAAGGGCAUGCCUGUUUGAGUAUCAUGAACACCUCAACUCUCAUGGUCUGCCAUGAUGAGCUUGGACUUUGGGGGUCUUGCUGGCUUGCAGUCAGCUCCUCUCAAAUGAAUCAGCUUGCCAGUGUUUGGUGGCAUCGCAGGUGUGAUAACUAUCUACGCUUGUGGUUUUCUACCAGGUAGCCUUCAGUGAUGGAGGUUCGCUGGAGCUCAUAAAUGUCUCUCCUCAGCGAAGACGGUCUCGUGAACGUUUGAUCUCAAAUCAGGUAGGACUACCCGCUGAACUUAAGCAUAUCAAUAAGCGGAGG